rnacentral:lncRNA from 1 species
CACUGUUAAUAAUUGAACUUAAAAUUUAAAUUUUGAAAAAUAGAGAGACUAAAUUUCAAAAUUUUUAAGAGUACAUGGAUUUAUCUUAUAUUUUAACCCCAAUAUAUAUUUGUGGGGGGGGGGGGGGGUUGAAUCUUAUAAAAAGACCAAUACCUUCUUGAAAUUUCAAGAUCUUCUAAUGUCUUCAACAUGUUUGCUGAUUCAGUCUUUAGAUGCUGCCAUUCUCAGUAAAUAUGCACCAUAAAAACAUGAAAUUAAUAACCUUGCUAUAUAUAUGAUUUAUAUUUGAUAAACAAACGGUAUAUAAUUUUAUGCAUUAGUGGUAAAUUAGAUGAUGCAAUAUCCAAGGGCAAAUUCAAUUUUCUUUUAAGGAGAUCAAAUUAAAUUAUAAUUUUUUUGUGAGAUUAAAGUGUAAUUUUAUAUUAUAUUAACUUAUAAUUUCAUCACUUUCGAAAAGACUAAAUAAUUUUUUUUUCAUUUUUAGAGACACCAAUGUGUGAUUCUACCACAUAAUAACUUUUAAUCUAUCAUUUAUUUGAGACUAGAAGAUAAACUUUUCAUUUCUACCUGUUUCCACCCAAUUUGCCCCUAGCAGCAUCAUCUAAUUUAUGGAUUGUGUAUAGAAUUAUGUACCGUGAAUCCAUAUAAGAAAAAAAAAUGCAUAUAAUUAAUGGUGAAUUUAGUUUCUCAACUUAAAAAAAAACUCGAGAAGUUAAUCCCUCUAUUUUAAUUCAUCAAAAUUUGGUCCUCAUACUUUUACAAAAACUCAUAAAUUAAUCUAACUGGACAAUAAUGUUAAACCUUACCAAUUUAUACAUGACAAUUAACAAAAACUAGCUAUUCAAAUUCAUGUGUUUACUAACAAAUGGAGGAGAAUCUAUAUAAAGUAAAGAGAUGAAAAUCAUAAAUAAAUCUAUAAUUAAUUGCGUUAAGACAUCAAAAACAAAAGACAUGCUAACCUGCAGGUUUUGUUCAAUUGGCUUAUUGGUUUCGUUAUCCUUUGUACGCCGCC